rnacentral:rRNA from 1 species
GAUGAACGCUGGCGGCGUGCCUAAUACAUGCAAGUCGAGCGAACAGAUAAGGAGCUUGCUCCUUUGACGUUAGCGGCGGACGGGUGAGUAACACGUGGGUAACCUACCUAUAAGACUGGAAUAACUCCGGGAAACCGGGGCUAAUGCCGGAUAACAUUUAGAACCGCAUGGUUCUAAAGUGAAAGAUGGUUUUGCUAUCACUUAUAGAUGGACCCGCGCCGUAUUAGCUAGUUGGUAAGGUAACGGCUUACCAAGGCAACGAUACGUAGCCGACCUGAGAGGGUGAUCGGCCACACUGGAACUGAGAUACGGUCCAGACUCCUACGGGAGGCAGCAGUAGGGAAUCUUCCGCAAUGGGCGAAAGCCUGACGGAGCAACGCCGCGUGAGUGAUGAAGGUCUUCGGAUCGUAAAACUCUGUUAUUAGGGAAGAACAAAUGUGUAAGUAACUGUGCACGUCUUGACGGUACCUAAUCAGAAAGCCACGGCUAACUACGUG